rnacentral:misc_RNA from 1 species
GAAAUGCGAUAAGUAAUGUGAAUUGCAGAAUUCAGUGAAUCAUCGAAUCUUUGAACGCACAUUGCGCCCUUUGGCAUUCCGAGGGGCAUACCUGUUCGAGCGUCAUCUAAACCUUCAAGCCCUGCUUGGUGUUGGGUGCCUGUCCCGCCUCCGCGCGCGGACUCACCUCAAAUCCAUUGGCGGCCCCCGCGUCGGCCACGAGCGCAGCAGAAACGCGAACUCGUGAGCCCGUCCGGGCGGCUCCCAGAAGCUACACCCACCCAGUUUGACCUCGGAUCAGGUAGGGAUACCCGCUGAACUUAAGC